ACCCCAGUUUAAGCCGACAGCAAAAGUAUCCUCAAUUUUGUGUGUGUGCUAUGACUGGGAACAUAAAGGCUGGGCAUGUGUAAGUAGCUUGGAUUAUUUUCCGAGCUGCUAAGAUGUUCCAGAUACA